CCUAUAGGGGUGCAGGAGGAUUCCCUUGACCUUGUACGUCCGGAACAGGAGCGGGCGCCGCCCGUCCUCGCCGCCGUCGUCGACGGCCUCCGCCGCCUCCUUGUCGUCGACGGGCGUCCAGUACUUGUCCAUCGGGCUGACGACUACCGCUGCAGGCCUCCUCUGCUUCCUCGUGCCGUGCUGCUUGCCGUUGCCGUUCGCCGCCACAGACGUCGGCACAGUCGUCGUCGUCGCGCCCCCGGCAACGCCGCCGACGUCGGUGCUGCCCCCGUGAUGGCCGCCGGCAACGACGACAGCGCCAUUAUUCGCCGGCGCCUUAGGAGCCAUGCUCUGGUCGACGCGAUGAUCA
rnacentral:misc_RNA from 1 species